rnacentral:rRNA from 1 species
AUACGGAGGAUCCAAGCGUUAUCCGGAAUCAUUGGGUUUAAAGGGUCCGUAGGCGGGAAUCUAAGUCAGUGGUGAAAUCUUGCAGCUCAACUGUAAAAUUGCCAUUGAUACUGGAUUUCUUGAAUUAGUGUGAAGUGAUUAGAAUGUGUAGUGUAGCGGUGAAAUGCAUAGAUAUUACACAGAAUACCAAUUGCGAGGGCAGAUCACUAACACUAUAUUGACGCUGAGGGACGAAAGCGUGGGGAGCGAACAGGAUUAGAAACCCUAGUAGUCC